AAUGUUGUUAAUGGGGUAAUUUUUUGUUUAACAUUUUUAUUGGUGUUUCAUAUUUUAAGCUAAUUUUAAAACUUGACCUUCAUUAUCUACAUGAUUGUUGCUUUUCUGCACUUGGUUUUGCAGCAAGCUCUGACUCUGGUUUUUGUGGAGACGAAGAAAGGAGCUGAUUCACUGGAACAUUGGUUGUGUAUGAAUGGGUUUCCUGCUACUACCAUUCAUGGUGACAGAACACAGCAGAGCAUUAUUUACAACUCUCGCUCGCAGAUUCGAAACAACCAUGCAA